UACGAAGGGGGCUAGCGUUGCUCGGAAUCACUGGGCGUACAGCGCACGUCGGCGGACUCUUAAGUCAGGGGUGAAAUCCUGGAGCUCAACUCCAGAACUGCCUUUGAUACUGGGAGUCUUGAGUUCGGGAGAGGUAAGUGGAACUGCGAGUGUAGAGGUGAAAUUCGUAGAUAUUCGCAAGAACACCAGUGGCGAAGGCGGCUUACUGGUCCGGUUCUGACGCUGAGGCGCGAAAGCGUGGGGAGCAAACAGG
rnacentral:rRNA from 1 species